rnacentral:rRNA from 1 species
GAUGAACGCUGGCAGCGUGCCUAAUACAUGAAAGUCGAGCGAACAGACGAGGAGCUUGCUCCUUUGACGUUAGCGGCGGACGGGUGAGUAACACGUGGGUAACCUACCUAUAAGACUGGGAUGACUUCGGGAAACCGGAGCUAAUACCGGAUAAUAUUUCGAACCGCAUGGUUCGAUAGUGAAAGAUGGCUUAGCUAUCACUCAUAGAUGGACCUGCGCCGUAUUAGCUAGUUGGUAAGGUAACGGCUUACUAAGGCGACGAAACGUAGCCGCCCUGAGAGGGUGGUGGGCCACCCUGGAACUGAGACACGGUCCAGACUCCUACGGGAGGCAGCAGUAGGGAAUCUUCCGCAAUGGGCGAAAGCCUGACGGAGCAACGCCGCGUGAGUGAUGAAGGUCUUCGGAUCGUAAAACUCUGUUAUUAGGGAAGAACAAAUGUGUAAGUAACUGUGCACAUCUUGACGGUACCUAAUCAGAAAGCCACGGCUAACUACGUGCCAGCAGCCGCCGUAA